rnacentral:lncRNA from 1 species
CAGGAAGUGAAAUUUAUUUAGAAUUGUGGAAGUGGUGACAAAAUGGCGGAAGUGGGUUGGGUUAAAACAGGAAGUGACGUCAUUUAAAGAGACAUGAACCAAUUUUGGGGGAUGUGGGCGGGGUUUAAGGGAGGGGGCGUGGCCUAACGAGUUGGCCCCGCCCCCUUUUCCAGUGCCCCGCCCCUUCCGGCCCCGCCCCCGGAAGUGCUGCCGGAGCUGCCGGAGGCGCCGCCCAUCAUCGACCUGCGCAGCCUGAUCCUGGACCACGCCCGAGUGCCGGAGGGGGCGGAGCUUGGCGCCAUCCUGAGCCCUGAUUGGCCGCGGCCCCGCGUGGCCCAAACCUUCGCGCUGUGCUUGGAGCUCUGCGCCUCCCAUUGGCUGAAGCUGGAGCAGGCGCAGCCCUACGGACCAAUCAGGAUCAAGCUCCGCCCCGGGCGCCAAUAAACCACGCCCACUUCGCCUUAUAUGGAGUGGUGAUUUUUUGGGGGGAUUUUGGGGGUUUUUGGGUGAAAUUUGGGGAUUUUGGGAACUUUGACCAAUUUUAGGGAUUUUUUUUGGGUGAAUUAUGGGAAAUUUUGGGGUAAAAUUUGGGAAAUUUUGGGCGAUUUUGGGUGAAAUUUGGGAAUUUUGAAUAAUUUUAGGGAUUUCUUUAGGGUUAAAUGUGGGAAUUUUGGGGUAAAAUUUGGGAAUUUUGGGCCAUUUUGGGUGAAAUUUUUGAUUUUUGAAGAAUUUUUGGGAAAAUUUUUGGGUGAAAUUUGGGAAUUUUGGAGAAUUUCUGGGCCACGUUUCUGAAUUUUUUGGGAAUUUAGGAGAAUUUUUGAGUGAAAUUUCAGAAUUUUAGGGAACUUUUGGGGGAAAUUUGGGGGAUUUGGGGAAUUUUUUGGUGAAAUUUGAAAAUUUUGGGACAUUUUGGGAGAAAUUUGGGAAUUUUUGGGUGACAAUUAAGGAAUUUGGGUAAAAUUUCUAACUUUGGGGGAAAAUGGGGAAUUUCAUUGGGAAAUUUGGGGAUUUUGGGAAUUUAAGGGUGAAAUUUGGGAAUUUUGACUAAUUUUAGGGAUUUCUUUUGGGUGAAAUAAGGAAAUUUUGGGGUAAAAUUUAGGAAUUUUUUGGCAAUUUUAGUGAAAUUUGGGAAUUUUGACUAAUUUUAGGGAUUUCUUUUGGGUGAAAUUUGGGAAUUUUAGGAUAAAAUUUGUGAAUUUUUGGGACAUUUUGGGUGAAAUUUAGAAAUUUUGAAGAAUUUUUGUGAAAAUUUUUGGGUGAAAUUUGGGAAUUUUGGAGAAUUUCUUGGUGACGUUUCUGAAUUUUUUGGGGAAUUUUGGAGAAUUUUUUUAGUGAAAUUUGAGAAUUUUAGGGAACUUUCGGGUGAAAUUUGGGGGAUUUGGGGAAUUUUUGGGUGAAAUUUGGGGAUUUUGGGUAUUUUUGGGUGAAAUUUGGGAAUUUUGAAUAAUUUUAGGGAUUUUAUUUUGGGUUAAAUGUGGGAAUUUUGGGGUAAUAUUUGGGAAAUUUUGGGUCAUUUUGGGUAAAAUUUGGGAAUUUUGACUAAUUUUAGGGAUUUCUUUUAGGUGAAAUAAGGAAAUUUUGGGGUAAAAUUUGGGAAAUUUUGGGCAAUUUUGGUGAAAUUCGGGAAUUUGGACUAAUUUUAGGGAUUUUUUUUGGGUGAAAUAUGGGAAUUUUGGGGCAAAAGUUUGGAAAUUUUGGGCAAUUUUGGGUGAAAUUUGGGAAUUUUGAAUAAUUUUAGGGAUUUCUUUUGGGUGAAAUAUGAGAAUUUUGGGGUAAAAUUUGGGAAAUUUUGGGCAAUUUUGAGUGAAAUUUGGGAUUUUGGGGAAUUUAAGGGCGAAAUUUGGGAAUUUUCACUAAUUUUAGGGAUUUUUUUUGGGGUUAAAUAUGGGAAAUUUUGGAUAAAAUUUUGAAGAAUUUUGGGGGAAAUUUUUGGGUGAAAUUUGGGAAAUUUGGAGAAUUUCUUGGUGAAGUUUCUGAAUUUUUUGGGAAUUUUGGAGAAAUUUUUUAGUGACAUUUGAGAAUUUUAGGGGAAUUUAGGAUGAAAUUUGAGGAUUUUAGGGAAUUUUUGGGUGAAAUUUUGGGAAUUUUGGGAAUUUAACGGUGAAAUUUGGGAAUUUUGACUAAUUUUAGGGAUUUUUUUUGGGUGAAUUAUGGGAAUUUUGGGGUAAAAUUUGGGAAAUUUUGGGCAAUUUUGGGUGAAAUUUGGGAUUUUGAAGAAUUGUGGGGAAAAAUUUUUGGGUGAAAUCUGGGAAUUUUGGAGAAUUUCUGGGUGACGAUUCUGAAUUUUUUGGGAAUUUCGGAGAAUUUUUUUAGUGACAUUUGAGAAUUUUAGGUGAAUUUUGGGUGAAAUUUGGGGGAUUUGGGGAAUUUUUGGGUGAAAUUUGAAAGUUUUGGGACAUUUUGGGAGAAAUUUUGGGGAUUUUUGGGUGACAUUUAAGGAAUUUGGGUGAAGUUUCUGAAUUUUGGGGAAAAUGGGGAAUUUCAUAGGGAAAUUUGGGGAUUUUGGGAAUUUUUGGGUGAAAUUUGUGAAUUUUGGGGAUUUAAGAGAUUUCUUUUGGGUUAAAUGUGGGAAUUUUGGGGUAAAAUUUGGGAAAUUUUGGGCAAUUUUGGGGUAAACUUUUGGAAAUUUUGGGACUUUUUGGGUGAAAUUCGGGAAUUUUGAAUUUGAGGGAUUUAUUUUGGGGGAAUUGUGGGAAUUUUGGGGUAAAAUUUGGGAAAUUUUGGGCGAUUCUGGGUGAAAAUUGGGAUUUUUGAAGAAUUUUUGGGAAAAUUUUUGGGUGACAUGUCAGAUUUUUUUGAGAAUUUCAGAGAAUUCUUUUAGUGAAAUUUGAGAAUUUUAGGAGAAUUUUGGGUGAAAUUUGGGGAUUUUGACUAAUUUUAGUCAUUUCUUUUGGGUGA